rnacentral:rRNA from 1 species
GACGAACGCUGGCGGCGUGCUUAACACAUGCAAGUCGAACGGAAAGGCUCCAGCUUGCUGGGGUACUCGAGUGGCGAACGGGUGAGUAACACGUGGGUAAUCUGCCCUGCACUCUGGGAUAAGCCUAGGAAACUGGGUCUAAUACUGGAUAUGACCUUUCUCCUUAUGGGGUUGGGUGGAAAGUUUUUCGGUGUAGGAUGAGUCCGCGGCCUAUCAGCUUGUUGGUGGGGUGAUGGCCUACCAAGGCGACGACGGGUAGCCGGCCUGAGAGGGUGAUCGGCCACAUUGGGACUGAGAUACGGCCCAGACUCCGACGGGAUGCAGCAGUGGGGAAUAUUGUACAAUGGGCGGAAGCCUGAUGCAGCGACGCCGCGUGAGGGAUGACGGCCUUCGGGUUGUAAACCUCUUUCAGCAGGGACGAAGCGUAAGUGACGGUACCUGCAGAAGAAGCACCGGCUAACUAUGUG